rnacentral:rRNA from 1 species
AUUGAACGCUGGCGGCAUGCCUUACACAUGCAAGUCGAACGGUAACGCGGGGCAACCUGGCGACGAGUGGCGAACGGGUGAGUAAUGUAUCGGAACGUGCCCAGUUGUGGGGGAUAACUGCUCGAAAGAGCAGCUAAUACCGCAUACGACCUGAGGGUGAAAGCGGGGGAUCGCAAGACCUCGCGCAAUUGGAGCGGCCGAUAUCAGAUUAGGUAGUUGGUGGGGUAAAGGUCCACCAAGCCAACGAUCUGUAGCUGGUCUGAGAGGACGACCAGCCACACUGGGACUGAGACACGGCCCAGACUCCUACGGGAGGCAGCAGUGGGGAAUUUUGGACAAUGGACGCAAGUCUGAUCCAGCCGUGCCGCGUGCGGGAAGAAGGCCUUCGGGUUGUAAACCGCUUUUGUCAGGGAAGAAAAGGGCGACUCUAAUACAGUUGCCUCAUGACGGUACCUGAAGAAUAAGCACCGGCUAACUACGUGCCAGCCGCCGCAGUAAUAC